rnacentral:misc_RNA from 1 species
GCCAGUUCCAGCUUGAACCGGUGGUUUUGGGUUGGUUCCGAUUCAAAUUCAAUGAGGGGGGACCAGAACCAGCCACCCUAUACCCCGAUUCUGGGACAGUUCAUGAAAUAAAACCAUUGACCUGAUUUGGUUCAUGAUUUGAACUGGCUGCUGUCCAAGUCCAUAUCUAAGUCUAUAUCCAAGAACCCAUCAGUCAAGUCAAUACAACACUAGAACAAUUGCCACUGUUUAAAUUUAGACUGAUAAAAAAGAUAAGAGAAAAUAAUAAGAGAAUGAUUUUAAGUGCUUCAGCUAUGAAGAGCCUACAUCCACGGACACAACCUCAAAGGUUUACAUUUCAUUCUCUUGCACAUUAGCAUAAUAUAUAAGAGUCCAUAUU